UACAGAGGUCUCGAGCGUUGUUCGGAUUCACUGGGCGUAAAGGGUGCGUAGGUGGCGUGGUAAGUCUGGUGUGAAAUCCCGGGGCUCAACCCCGGAACUGCACUGGAUACUGCCAUGCUUGAGUACUGGAGAGGAGAUUGGAAUUUACGGUGUAGCAGUGAAAUGCGUAGAUAUCGUAAGGAAGACCAGUGGCGAAGGCGAAUCUCUGGACAGUUACUGACACUGAGGCACGAAGGCCAGGGGAGCAACGGG
rnacentral:rRNA from 1 species